UGGGGAAUCUUGGACAAUGGGCGCAAGCCUGAUCCAGCCAUGCCGCGUGAGUGACGAAGGCCUUAGGGUUGUAAAGCUCUUUUGGCGGGGACGAUAAUGACGGUACCCGCAGAAUAAGCCCCGGCUAACUUCGUGCCAGCAGCCGCGGUAAUACGAAGGGGGCUAGCGUUGUUCGGAAUUACUGGGCGUAAAGCGCACGUAGGCGGAUUUGUCAGUCAGGGGUGAAAUCCCGAGGCUCAACCUCGGAACUGCCUCCGAUACAGCAAGUCUCGAGUCCGGAAGAGGUGAGUGGAAUUCCUAGUGUAGAGGUGAAAUUCGUAGAUAUGCGGAGGAACACCGAUGGCGAAGGCAGUCCCCUGGGCCUGUACUGACGCUCAUGCACGAAAGCGUGGGGAGCAAACAGGAUUAGAUACCCUUGUAGUCCCUGAGCGGGCUGGCAAGGCGCAU
rnacentral:rRNA from 1 species